UACGAGGGGGGCUAGCGUUGUUCGGAAUCACUGGGCGUAAAGGGCGCGUAGGCGGCCGAUCAAGUCGGGGGUGAAAGCCUGUGGCUCAACCACAGAAUUGCCUUCGAUACUGUUUGGCUUGAGACCGGAAGAGGUUAGUGGAACUGCGAGUGUAGAGGUGAAAUUCGUAGAUAUUCGCAAGAACACCAGUGGCGAAGGCGGCUGACUGGUCCGGUUCUGACGCUGAGGCGCGAAAGCGUGGGGAGCAAACAGG
rnacentral:rRNA from 1 species